UACGUAGGGUCCAAGCGUUGUCCGGAAUUAUUGGGCGUAAAGAGCUCGUAGGCGGUUUGUCGCGUCUGCCGUGAAAGUCCGGGGCUCAACUCCGGAUCUGCGGUGGGUACGGGCAGACUAGAGUGAUGUAGGGGAGACUGGAAUUCCUGGUGUAGCGGUGAAAUGCGCAGAUAUCAGGAGGAACACCGAUGGCGAAGGCAGGUCUCUGGGCAUUAACUGACGCUGAGGGGCGAAAGCAUGGGGAGCGAACAGG
rnacentral:rRNA from 1 species